GGGAACUUCACCAGGCCCGGACACCGGAAGGAUUGACAGAUUGAGAGCUCUUUCUCGAUUCGGUGGGUGGUGGUGCAUGGCCGUUCUUAGUUGGUGGAGUGAUUUGUCUGGUUAAUUCCGAUAACGAACGAGACUCUGUCCUGCUAAAUAGUGUCAGCCUCUCUUUUGGGCUGACAAUUCUUCUUAGAGGGACUGGCGGCACCUAGCCGCACGAAAUAGAGCAAUAA
rnacentral:rRNA from 1 species